AAUAGAUACCCUGGUAGUCCAUGCCGUAAACGAUGUCUACUAGCCGUUGGGGCCCUUGAGGCUUUAGUGGCGCAGCUAACGCGAUAAGUAGACCGCCUGGGGAGUACGGUCGCAAGACUAAAACUCAAAUGAAUUGACGGGGGCCUGCACAAGCGGUGGAGCAUGUGGUUUAAUUCGAUGCAACGCGAAGAACCUUACCUGGCCUUGACAUACAGAGAACUUUCCAGAGAUGGAUUGGUGCCUUCGGGAACUCUGAUACAGGUGCUGCAUGGCUGUCGUCAGCUCGUGUCGUGAGAUGUUGGGUUAAGUCCCGCAACGAGCGCAACCCUUUUCCUUAUUUGCCAGCACUUCGGGUGGGAACUUUAAGGAUACUGCCAGUGACAAACUGGAGGAAGGCGGGGACGACGUCAAGUCAUCACGGCCCUUACGGCCAGGGCUACACACGUGCUACAAUGGUCGGUACAAAGGGUUGCUACUGCGCGAGCAGAUGCUAAUCUCAAAAAGCCGAUCGUAGUCCGGAUCGC
rnacentral:rRNA from 1 species